UGUACCCUCUCUCGAUCUCUCUACCCAAAUCCAAGGCCCGAGCUCUCAUCCUAUCUCUCGCUCUCUCUCUACGAAGGACCCACUGCCCGAUCUCUCACUGACUCUGUGACUCAUCUCGGGCUAUCGAUUUCUCAGCCCCAGCCCAAGCUCCCAAAGCUCGAGCUCGAUCUCUUAGCCCCAAAUCAGCCUCAUCAAAAGUGAAGCUGGGAGCCUGGGACUAAAACCUUGCUUUUUGCUGCUCUUUCGCCUCAUUUAUUAAGCCAAGAGGCAUCUUUUCUAUAUAUCAUUUGGACAGGUGAAGCUGGGAGCCUGGGACUAAAACCUUGCUUUUUGCUGCUCUUUCGCCUCAUUUAUUAAGCCAAGAGGGAAAUCGCUCCAAGCCAUUUUCAAAGUCAUUGCCUUCUGGUGGUCAAGUGCAGGAUUCUAUUAUGAAUUAUGUUAUGUCAAAUGGGCACACAUGUCCUAAAUUAAGGAAUUUUAAUUGUUAUUAAUGCAUAUGAAGUUUCAACGAUCAUGGAGUUGAUCACAAGCAUGUAUUACAUUUUGGUAUAUGAUCUUUUGAAGAUCAUUGAGUGAGCGAUUGUGGAUGGGAUGUAUCUUA